rnacentral:rRNA from 1 species
CGAAAGCCUGACGGAGCAAGACCGCGUGGGGGAGGAAGGCUCUUGGGUUGUAAACCCCUUUUAUCAGGGAAGAAUCAAUGACGGUACCUGAUGAAUCAGCCUCGGCUAACUCCGUGCCAGCAGCCGCGGUAAUACGGAGGAGGCAAGCGUUAUCCGGAAUUAUUGGGCGUAAAGAGUCCGUAGGUGGUGGGGCAAGUCGGCGGUUAAAGACUGGGGCUUAACUCCAGAAAAGCCGUGGAAACUGCACCACUAGAGGGCAGUAGGGGUAGAGGGAAUUCCCGGUGUAGCGGUGAAAUGCGUAGAUUUCGGGAAGAACAUCGGUGGCGAAAGCGCUCUGCUGGGCCGCAACUGACACUCAGGGACGAAAGCUAGGGGGGCG